GACGAACGCUGGCGGCGUGCUUAACACAUGCAAGUCGAGCGGUAAGGCCUGGCUUCGGUUGGGUACACGAGCGGCGAACGGGUGAGUAACACGUGGGUGACCUGCCUUCAGCUCUGGGAUAAGCCUGGGAAACUGGGUCUAAUACCGGAUAUGACCUUUGCCUGCAUGGGGUGGGGUGGAAAGAUUUGUUUUGGUCGUGGGGAGUGGCCGUGCGGUCUAUCAGCUUGUUGGUGGGGU
rnacentral:rRNA from 1 species